CAAUAGCGUAUAUUUAAGUUGUUGCAGUUAAAAAGCUCGUAGUUGGAUUUCGGGUGGGACGCAGCGGUCUCGCAUUGCGUUUGUACUGCUGCAGCCCUCCUUUUUGCCGGGGGCGGCCUCUCGGACUUCACUGUCUGGGGGUCAGAAUCGGCGAUGUUACUUUGAGUAAAUUAGAGUGUUCAAAGCAAGCUUACGCUCUGAAUAUAAUAGCAUGGGAUAACACGACAGGACUCUGGCCUAUCGUGUUGGUCUAUAGGACCAGAGUAAUGAUUAAGAGGGACAGUCGGGGGCAUUCGUAUUCCGUUGUCAGAGGUGAAAUUCUUGGAUUUACGGAAGACGAACAUCUGCGAAAGCAUUUGCCAAGGAUGUUUUCAUUGA
rnacentral:rRNA from 1 species